rnacentral:rRNA from 1 species
UACGGGGGGGGCAAGCGUUGUUCGGAAUUACUGGGCGUAAAGGGCGCGUAGGCGGUGCUCUAAGUCGGAUGUGAAAACUCUGGGCUCAACCCAGAGCCUGCAUCCGAAACUGGAGUGCUAGAGUUCUGGAGGGGGUAGCGGAAUUCCAGGUGUAGCGGUGAAAUGCGUAGAUAUCUGGAGGAAUACCGGUGGCGAAGGCGGCAUCCUGGACCGGCAUUGACGCUGAGGAGCGAAAGCUAGGGGAGCAAACGGG